rnacentral:rRNA from 1 species
UGAGUAACCUGCCCUUAACUCUGGGAUAAGCCUGGGAAACUGGGUCUAAUACCGGAUAUGACUCCUCAUCGCAUGGUGGGGGGUGGAAAGCUUUAUUGUGGUUUUGGAUGGACUCGCGGCCUAUCAGCUUGUUGGUGAGGUAAUGGCUCACCAAGGCGACGACGGGUAGCCGGCCUGAGAGGGUGACCGGCCACACUGGGACUGAGACACGGCCCAGACUCCUACGGGAGGCAGCAGUGGGGAAUAUUGCACAAUGGGCGAAAGCCUGAUGCAGCGACGCCGCGUGAGGGAUGACGGCCUUCGGGUUGUAAACCUCUUUCAGUAGGGAAGAAGCGAAAGUGACGGUACCUGCAGAAGAAGCGCCGGCUAACUACGUGCCAGCAGCCGCGGUAAUACGUAGGGCGCAAGCGUUAUCCGGAAUUAUUGGGCGUAAAGAGCUCGUAGGCGGUUUGUCGCGUCUGCCGUGAAAGUCCGGGGCUCAACUCCGGAUCUGCGGUGGGUACGGGCAGACUAGAGUGAUGUAGGGGAGACUGGAAUUCCUGGUGUAGCGGUGAAAUGCGCAGAUAUCAGGAGGAACACCGAUGGCGAAGGCAGGUCUCUGGGCAUUAACUGACGCUGAGGAGCGAAAGCAUGGGGAGCGAACAGGAUUAGAUACCCUGGUAGUCCAUGCCGUAAACGUUGGGCACUAGGUGUGGGGGACAUUCCACGUUUUCCGCGCCGUAGCUAACGCAUUA